rnacentral:rRNA from 1 species
GACGAACGCUGGCGGCGUGCCUAAUACAUGCAAGUAGAACGCACAGUUUAUACCGUAGCUUGCUACACCAUAGACUGUGAGUUGCGAACGGGUGAGUAACGCGUAGGUAACCUGCCUGGUAGCGGGGGAUAACUAUUGGAAACGAUAGCUAAUACCGCAUAAUAUUAAUUAUUGCAUGAUAAUUAAUUGAAAGGUGCAAUUGCACCACUACCAGAUGGACCUGCGUUGUAUUAGCUAGUAGGUGAGGUAACGGCUCACCUAGGCGACGAUACAUAGCCGACCUGAGAGGGUGAUCGGCCACACUGGGACUGAGACACGGCCCAGACUCCUACGGGAGGCAGCAGUAGGGAAUCUUCGGCAAAGGACGAAAGUCUGACCGAGCAACGCCGCGUGAGUGAAGAAGGUUUUCGGAUCGUAAGGCUCUGUUGUAAGAGAAGAACGGGUGUGAGAGUGGAAAGUUCACACUGUGACGGUAGCUUACCAGAAAGGGACGGCUAACUACGUG